GGGAUGAGCUUGCGUCCGAUUAGCUAGUUGGCGGGCAACGGCCCACCAAGGCGACGAUCGGUAGCCGGCCUGAGAGGGUGAUCGGCCACAUUGGGACUGAGAUACGGCCCAGACUCUACGGGAGGCAGCAGUAGGGAAUAUUGCACAAUGGGGGAAACCCUGAUGCAGCAACGCCACGUGUGGGAAGAAGCAUUUCGGUGUGUAAACCACUGUCGUGAGGGAAUAAAGCUGGAGUUGUCCAGUUGAAUGUACCUCGAAAGGAAGCACCGGCAAACUUCGUGCCAGCAGCCGCGGUAAUACGAGGGGUGCAAGCGUUGUUCGGAAUCACUGGGCGUAAAGGGAGCGCAGGCGGAAGUGCAAGCGGUCUGUACAAUACCGGGGCCCAACCCCGGACCUGCAGACCGGACUGCAUUUCUUGGAUAGUUCAGGGGCAAGCGGAAUUCCUGGUGUAGCGGUGGAAUGCGUAGAGAUCAGGAAGAACACCGAUGGCGAAGGCAGCUUGCUGGGGACUUAUCGACGCUCAUGCUCGAAAGUGCGGGUAGCAAACAGGAUUAGAUACCCUGGUAGUCC
rnacentral:rRNA from 1 species